UGCAAACUUGUUCUUUGUUUUAUUCAUGCUGUGUUUUUAUGUGUUGGACGUUGUUGCCACAGACACCAUCACACCAUCAGAAUCCAUCAAGGAUCCAGAAACUAUAAUCUCCAAAGAUGGUAAUUUCACUUUGGGGUUCUUCAUUCCUCCAAACUCGACAAACACUUACGUUGGAAUUUGGUGGAAGUCUCAAUCUACAGUCGUAUGGGUUGCCAACAGAAAUCAACCACUGAAUGAUUCGUCAGGAGUUGUUUCCUUUUCUGAAGACGGCAAUCUUUUGGUGCUGAAUGGAGAUCAAGUUCUUUGGUCGUCAACAAUUGUGUCAAACACAUCCUCCAUUACAUGUGCCCGGCUUUCAGACGAGGGGAAGCUUGAAAUCACAGAAACUACAGUAGGGAACAGCUUAUGGGAUAGUUUUCAAGAACCUUCAGAUACAUUACUGCCCCAAAUGAAAAUUUCAAGCAAUAGAACAGGUAGGGGAGUAAGACUUACAUCAUGGAUGAACCCUUCUAAUCCCUCUGUUGGGAACUUCUCUUUGGGUGUUGUUGAACGCGGAAAAAUCGUUGAAGUGUUCAUUUGGAAUGAAACUCGACCAUACUGGCGCAGUGGUCCUUGGAGCGUUGGGGUCUUUACAGGGGUAGAGCACAUGGCUAGUGCAUAUCUAAAUAGCUUUUCUGUUGUAGACGGUGAAGUCUCUUAUAACCCAAGUGCAUCUGAAUUUGGAAUCUACGUUCUGAAUUCUCAAGGUCAGUUUGAAGAAAAAUAUUGGGAUGAUGAGAAGAAAGAACUAGAACUUACUUGGACGAGUAAACAAUCGGAUUGUGAUGUUUAUGGUGUAUGCGGGUCGUUUGCAAUUUGUGAUGGACACAACCAAGGAACAAAUGGCUCACCGAUAUGCAGCUGUUUGGAAGGGUUUGAGCCAAACAACAAAGAGGAAUGGGAUGCACAAAACUGGACUGGUGGAUGUUUCAGGAGCACACCCUUGCAGUGUGAAAGAGUUAAAGAUGAAAACACAACUACAGAUACAAAUGUAGAUCAAUUUUUGGAACUGCAAAUGGUGAAAGUUCCAGAUUUUUCUGAAUGGUCUAGUGCUGAGCCAGAGACAUGCAGAAGCCAAUGCUUGGAAAAUUGCUCUUGUGUUGCGUAUUCUCACGAUGAUGGGAUUGGUUGUAUGUUUUGGAAUGACAAUCUACUAGACAUCCAACAACUCUCAAGUCGAGGACUUAAUCUAUAUGUUCGUGUAGACUCUUCUGAACUUGAACAUGAUGAAGGGAAAAAGACAGCAAUUAUCAUUACAAUAACAGUGAUAAUAGGAAUUGUGAUCAUUGUCACUUCUGCAUGUGUAAUAUGGAGGAGGACUUCCUGUCGUCCAGCUAAAAUAUGGUACUCAAUCAAAUCAGCAAUGAAAAGGGGCAAGAAAGGUUUUUUAUGUUUCAAGAACGAUGAACCAUUAGAACAAACAGGCAACAAAGUAUUUGAAGAACUGUCACGAGUUAAACUACAGGAGCUGCUCCUGUUUGAUUUUGAAAAGCUUGCGACUGCCACAAACAACUUCCACCAGUCCAACAAACUUGGGCAGGGUGGUUUUGGUCCUGUUUACAAGGGGAAACUGCCAAAUGGACAAGAAAUAGCAGUUAAAAGACUUUCUAGAGCCUCUGGACAAGGUCAAGAAGAAUUCAUGAAUGAAGUAGUGGUCAUUUCCAAGCUUCAACAUCGUAAUCUUGUAAGACUUUUUGGCUGUUGCAUUGAAGGUGACGAAAAGAUGUUGAUCUAUGAAUACUUGCCAAAUAAAAGCUUGGAUGUAUUAAUCUUUGAUCCAUCAAAAAGUAAACUCCUAGAUUGGAGGAAGCGCUGUGGCAUAAUAGAAGGAAUAGCUCGAGGGUUGCUUUAUCUUCAUAGAGACUCUAGACUAAAAAUUAUACACAGAGAUUUGAAGACAAGUAAUAUCUUGUUAGAUGAAGAGCUAAAUCCAAAAAUAUCAGACUUUGGUAUGGCUAGAAUCUUUGGAGGAACAGAAGAUCACGCUAAUACUAAUAGGAUUGUUGGGACAUAUGGCUACAUGUCCCCUGAAUAUGCAAUGCAAGGACUGUUUUCAGAGAAAUCGGAUGUCUUUAGCUUUGGUGUUUUGCUGCUAGAGAUUGUUAGUGGAAGAAGAAACUCAAGCUUUUAUGCUGAUGAGCAUUCUCUUACCCUUUUAGGAUAUACCUGGGCACAGUGGAAAGAAGGCAAUAUAUUAUCUUUAAUAGAUUCAGAAAUAUAUGAUCCUAAUGAUCAUGAAGAUAUGUUAAGGCUCAUUCACAUAGGACUUUUAUGUGUACAAGAACUUGCUUCAGACAGACCCACAAUGGCUACAGUAGUUUCUAUGCUUAAUAGUGAUGUUGUCUUUCUUCCUCCUCCAAGUCAACCUGCAUUCAUCCGGGUGCAAAACGUGGUUAAUUCAGAGUUGUCUGAAAAAAGUCAAAGAGUUUGUUCCGUGAAUAUUAUUAGUAUUACAGAAAUCCGUGGUAGGUAGCAAAAGAAGACUAUGAAAGAUAACUCAUGAAAUUGAUUACGUAACAGAGAAGAUCGUGGCUAUGCAGACAGAGAUCUGAACAAGUGGCACCGUAUGUGGGGAGAUCAAACAAGACAAAACCUUCUAUACUUCUUCACUUCACCAAGAAUCAAUGACAAGCAAAAUUUGAUAUUUAGAUAAAAAAAAGACAAAAGAUUUUUUUGUUGGCCUUUAUUACGACUAAAAAGGUUGUCAACAAGCUCUCCAAUUUGCAAGUCACUUCAAGUUGAACUCAAAGAAGUGUCCUACAAUGAGGAAAAUAAAGAAAAAAUGCAUAAAAUUUCAUAUUCAUUUGCAAUUGGUAGUUUGAUGUAUGUUACAGUGUGUAUAAGGACAUUGCUCAUGUUGUUGCUGCUUU